rfam:Bacillus sp. NRRL B-41092 Bacillus-sp-B-41092_contig_14, whole genome shotgun sequence.
UUUCUAUCAAGAGAGGUGGAGGGACUGGCCCUAUGAAACCUCGGCAACAUUAUUGUGCCAAUUCCAGCAAGCGUAUGCUUGAAAGAUAGGAA